AGCAAGUUUAUUAUCCUACAAAUUAUUUUUUUAUACGUACAGAUUGAUUUAGCCAGCAUAAUACAAACCUGUCUUUCAAUAGGGUUAGAUUCACUUGGAACUUCUGACUGCCUAUUUGAUGCUAGCAGAAGCAUUUAGGACUGAUAGCUAUGUUUUUUUAUUAUUGGAUUGCUAUUUCCUGUUCUCCAAGUUAAAUAUAUUUCAAAAAUGUACAAGAAAUUGAUGCACUGAUACUACAUGAGCAUGACCAAUAGAUGCCUGUAUAGAUGGAAUGUUAAGGAGUAUUUGUACAAGAUUAGACAAGAUUAUUUUUGGUCUUGCUUACCUACAAUAAGCUCAGUUCAUUAAUCUUGAUUUUCUCAGUCGUGAAUAAUAGUAUUUACAUUUGAAUGCAUGGAAGAAUUAUCAAUUUACCAACCUGGCCAAACUAAUGAAAAUGCUAUUGAUUGGGAAGACACAAAGCACAAGUAUCCUUAAGUGCCAUUUUUUUCCUCUAUACUGGCUCAUAUAAAAAUUGAACCUUGUCGUUCCUCAUACUCUCAUGCAGCGUUGGCUGGCAUCUUAGAGUGGAGGUAUUUUCUACUUGGUAGCGACGGCCCACAUAGGCAAUCAGCCUUGAUGUAAUAGAUGGAGAGGGUUACACCGACCUGGAGACAUGAAAAGUUAUAUAUCAAAACGUACUUAACUGACUGUAUCCUGCACAUACAUGUAUGUUACUUGACAGACUGCACCUACACAUACAUGUAUGUUCAUUUGAGUUAUGCUUUCUAAUAUACGUAUGCUAUGUAGUCAAACAAUUAGUUUGCUGCUCCUUUGUUUUCAGGAUGUAUUUGUACAUGCUGGUGCAGUCUUAGAGGGAAUGCAUUAUACUUAGUUGCUUGUGUGGAGCAGGGAUCAUGCCCAGGAAACCAAUUUCAGAUUGCUGCAAAUGACAGUUGCAAACGUUAGGUACUUAAGCUACCUAUGGCAGCUGGUGUAUUUCCAGACACGAUCUAUUCAUCUUACAUCAGACAAUUGCUGCACUACAUGUAUUUUUAACAACAGUUGAUUCCAUAUUAUGCCAUCGUUAAUAAUUUCUCCUUUUGUACUUCGUGUUGCCCUAUGUGGCUGUAACCAAUGUAGUGAAGACUAUCCUUUGUCUCA